UACGGAGGGAGCUAGCGUUGUUCGGAAAUACUGGGCGUAAAGCGCACGUAGGCGGCUCAGCAAGUCAGGGGUGAAAUCCCGGGGCUCAACCCCGGAACUGCCUCUGAAACUGCAGUGCUAGAAUCUUGGAGAGGCGAGUGGAAUUCCGAGUGUAGAGGUGAAAUUCGUAGAUAUUCGGAAGAACACCAGUGGCGAAGGCGACUCGCUGGACAAGUAUUGACGCUGAGGUGCGAAAGCGUGGGGAGCAAACAGG
rnacentral:rRNA from 1 species